UGUGUCUUCUCUUUUCUUAUAAAGACAUCAGUCAUAUUGGAUUAAGGGCCCACCCUAAUGGGCGGAUCUUAACUUGAUUAUAUCUGUUAAAGAUCUCAUUUCCAAAUAAGGCCAUAUUCACAGGUUCCAGGGGUUAGGAUUUUUUUGGAGGGGGACACAAUUCAACCCAUACCAUGUGGCUAGGAUUUUCUCAGUGAGGGAAUGUAGACUCUAACUUUACCAAAAUCAUAGUAUCAUUCUGUUUCUGCUCCAAAAAUUCUAACUUCUUUUCAAGUGCCUUCACAAAACAAAGGAACAGUCAGAAAUCACGCAACAGUUUCUAAUGUAAUGUGUCAACAAGUAUUUGAUAAAGUAUUUGAUACAGUUCCUCUUAGAAAAGAGAAAAGGGCAUCCAAAGCAUGUCAGAGAUAGGAGCUGAUGACUUAAGACCCCCUGAGAUUUUCGAGAGACUCAUCUCCCUGGGUGGCACAGGUAAUGUGCCAAAGAAAACAAGGUAAUGAUAAGUUCAAAAGAUUCAUCAAGGGGAAGAGAUAGAAGAUGUCCUAAAGUUACUUACUCUAUAAAUAAUUUAGCAUGACAAAUCUUUGAUACCAGUGAGUAUUUAGAAAACAUAAUCGAUGCUAAGUUAUGAUGUACCAUUCAGCACCUAACAGAUUAUAGUAAACAACUGUUGUUACAGUCUGUCCCUGACUUUCUUCUCCAGACUUUGGAUAUGCCCACCUUCCCCUUGGGGUACCACUUCAAGGUCUCUUUCCAUUGUCUCUUCCCCUGUGCGAGCUCUCUUUCUCUCCCUUGUAAGCACUCAUAGGUACCUUCACAGGCACCUCUCUGCAUCAGUCCUAGUCCUGCUCUCUGGCUUCCUCUAAUCUCAAUGCCCACUCCCUACUCCUAUGCUGGUAUCUUUGAUACACAUCCAUGCUUCUCAAACUUGAACGUGGGAUCUUGUUACAAUGCAGCCUCUGAUUCAGUAUAUCUGGGGAAGGGCCAUCCUCUGUUUCUAACAAACUCCUGGGCAAUGACCACACCACUGGCCCAUGGACCACCCUGAUGGAUGGCCCUCCAAGGCCCUCUCUAUAAGCCCUACCACCUGCCCCAACAGAGCUUCCCUUCCUCAUCAAGGGCUCAUACUUCAAAAUAAUUUUUUAUCACUACCACCCACCUCCUCUCAUCAGCUCCUGUCACCUCAAGCACAUCUCAGGUACUCAGAUGAUAAAAUAACCCUACUGAAGAAUGAAAUAAGAUGCACUCUCCCUACUGCUCCCCCCGUCCCCCUCCCAGAGAUUUUCCUUGGUGGUUUGUAUGAAUAUUUUAACCAAGCAGAUGCUCAACCACUGAGUCACCCAGGUGCCCCCCACGCCCAUCAGCUCCAUUUCGUACACGUGGACAGAGAAACACAUAGAUGUUUAGUGUUUGCCCAAAUUAAACGGUGGAGCUGAGAUUAGAACCCAGGCGAUCCGGUUGCAUGUCACAUCCAGUUGCCUCCUCUGGAGAAUCCGAUCAUGUAGACAGCAUACAGCCCUCCUCAGUGAUCGCUCUCAUUAUUAAGUUGAUAGGCCGUAAUUGUGUCUGUGAGAACAGCCAUGAUUCCAUCAGAAGUUCAAAGUAAAACAGAGUUAAAAUUACAUAGCUCACCUUUUCAUCACAUGUGUGCAGGAUGGAAACGACCGUCUUGGUAGGCAGGAUUCUCCGAUCCUUAUUUCACCCUAAAGCAGCUCUUUUUCCUUACAUCUUCUAAAGAUUCAAGACAUCAAGACAUGCUAAAGGUUUUACGGGUGAGGGCAAUCGCUUCAUUUGUGUGUAGGGGUGCAUGUGCAUGCACAUGCGUGUGCACGUGGGUGGGGGUAUGUGUUUGGGGAGGAGGAGAGCACAGUAGUAAAGAAUACUGGUGACUCUCUUCUAAAAAUGUUUUCCUUACCUCUCCUUUUAAAGAUAAGCGUAUGCGGUGUCUCUGCCAGGAGACCUUAAUGGACUGCUUUCCUCCAGUAGCUUCUUUUCCCCCUGCUUGCUCCAUUAAAAGUCUUCUGAUUUCAAAUCACUACAGCGCAAUUGGCUUAGAUAAUGUACUGUCAUCCACACCUCAUACAUCGUGUCCAGGGGACUCGCCUUACAGUAAGCAUCACUUCAAUUGCAAGGAGCUGGCCAUGAGCCAUGACCUGUGGGGGCCCCCGGUGGCCAUUUAUUGUAAACUAUAGCUUCUGGGUGAUGCUAAUGAAGUUCUUCAAGAAGUCACAUUUGCAUGACUUCACAUUUUUGUCUCCUUUAAAACUGCUAAUAAAAGGCUGGCAAACAUGUUCUUUAUCAUUCGUUACCCCAUUUUCUUCAUCUCUCUGUACAAGGGAAACCACUUCCAUGCAUCACAGUGUAUCCCUUCAUGACCACCAAAAACCAAACAC
rnacentral:lncRNA from 1 species